rnacentral:tRNA from 1 species
AGGAUUAUAAUUUAUAUAAAAAAUAUUUGAAUUGCAGUCAAAAAAAACUAAUUAGGUUAAUCUU